AUGGACAAGUCAAGCCUGUACCUAAAAGGGUUUCCUGGUUUGGUACAUCCAACAAGCGCAAGCAUGGAGGAGAGACCAAUGGCCUCUUCCACUUCCUGCAAAGGCCCUGACCACGACGACAAGAGCAAGAAGCACCAGUGCGAGCUGAUCGGCUACGAGGCGCUGCCGGAGUGGCUCAAGGACAACGAGUACAUCCACGGCUACUACCGGUGCGAGUGGCCGAUGAAGGAGACCAUCCUCAGCAUCUUCUCCAUCCACAACGAGACCCUCAACGUCUGGUCGCAUUUGGUAGGAUUCCUGCUGUUCCUGUGCUUGACGAUCCUCACGGCAAUGGUGAUCCCACGGGACGGCGGCGGGAACACAUUUGACGACACGCCAUCGACUAGGAGCUACUGGGGAGAUCUGAUGGCGAUGGCCAACGUGACAGGGGCGCUGAAGCAUGAGGCAGCCGCCUGCCUCCUGCUGCCUCCAGCUGCCGCAGAUUUGUCUGGAAACGAGGAGGAGAUCCCGAACAGCUGUCCACCCAACACAUCAUCCUCGCCCUCUCACCACCAUGUUGCGCUGAUCCAGGCGCAGCAGGACGCGAGCGCGGCGCCACGGGCCGUGGACGCUGCCUCCGCCGAUCCGAUCACGCGGUGGCCGAUGUUCGCGUACCUGUGCGGAGCCAUGGUGUGCCUACUUACGAGCAGCGCAUGCCACCUGGUGCUGUGCCACUCGGAGAGAAUGGCGUACGUGACGCUCCGGCUGGACUACGCCGGCAUCGCCGCCCUGAUCGUCACCUCCUUCUACCCGGUCGUCUACUACUCCUUCCUCUGCCACCCGGGGCUCCAGCGGCUCUACAUGGGCUUCAUCACCGCCUUCGGCGCCGCGGCGGUCACGGCGUCGCUGGUGCCGGUGUUCCAGGCGCCCGAGUUCCGCCCGCUCCGCGCCGGGCUCUUCUCAUGCAUGGGCGUGUCGGGGCUCAUCCCCGUCGCGCACAAGCUCGUGCUAUACGGCGGCCGGCGGGAGGCCGCCGUGACUGCGUGCUACGAGGCGCUCAUGGGCGCGCUCUACGGGCUCGGCGCCGCCGUCUACGCGGCGCGCGUGCCGGAGCGGUGGUUCCCCGGGAGGUUCGACCUCGUCGGGCACAGCCACCAGCUGUUCCAUCUCUUCGUCAUCGCCGGCGCGUACGCGCACUACCUCGGUGGCGUCGAGUACCUCAAGUGGAGGGACGCCGACAGGUGCUGGUGA
rnacentral:rRNA from 1 species